rnacentral:misc_RNA from 1 species
AACGCAUCUUGCACUCUUAAGUUAUUCUUGAGAGUAUGCUUGUUGGAGUAACGGAAAAGCUCAACCCCGCUUUGUCAUUGAUGAAGUAGUCUGGGAUUUGAAUCGUGACGCGUGUUGUCUUUAACAAGUCAACUCCGUUGAAAUGUAAGAAGCUGAAAGCUCUUCGGAGUGAUGUCAGACCUUCAUUGUUGUCAUAAAUUCACGUUUACCAUCAAUAGUGUUGUUGAAUCUGUCGCAGUAGGCUUAUCCAAAAUCCGAAAGACAUUUUGUUUUUCUUGCUUUGUUCUCCAAUCAAGUAGGACUACCCGCUGAACUUAA